UACGUAGGGUGCGAGCGUUGUCCGGAUUUAUUGGGCGUAAAGGGCUCGUAGGCGGCGUGUCGCGUCGGGAGUGAAAGCCCGUUGCUUAACGGCGGGUUGGCUUUCGGUACGGGCAUGCUGGAGUGCGGCAGGGGAGACUGGAAUUCCUGGUGUAGCGGUGGAAUGCGCAGAUAUCAGGAGGAACACCGGUGGCGAAGGCGAGUCUCUGGACAUUUCCUGACGCUGAGGCACGAAAGCCAGGGGAGCAAACGGG
rnacentral:rRNA from 1 species